CCCGCCAGCUCCUCCUCAGCCCGGCUCUGAGGCGGACGGGUCUGUCACAGGCUGUUUGUACAGGUGUUAUUUUAAACAACACUUCACACACAGGACAGGAGGAAAGAAUAACACAUGAUGGAAAAGAAUGGAGGAAAACUAGGAGAAGUAUGAAGAUGUGACAGGCGGGCGGUGGUGAACAGGCAUUUCAGUCCCAAUUCAUUAGUCGCUGUUUCUCUCCGACUCGGUCUGACUGACGCCGUGAGUAAUUAGUGUCAGUUAGCUUAGCAUAGCGGCCUCUGACUGAAUAGUGUUGCUGUUAAAUUCUGGAGAAACGAGCCAAAAACACGACGGAUCUGUGUAAAAUAUUCAUGUUUUAUUGACAGCCCAAACGGAAUUCUACUUAGGAGUCCAGGAUAGAGGAUCCUGUCAGAGUAGGAGCUGAACAUAAUAACAUGGUUCUGGUUUAGAGCUGGGCUCCAGAAAGGAAGCGCUAGUUAGAGUAGAGGAUAUGGCCAAUCCCAGAGACUGUGAGUGUCCCUUCUGAAGAUGAGUGACACGGUGACGUCUUUAAACGAGUGCCAGGACCCGAACACACACCCGUUAUGUCAUGGUUCAUUUCAUACACUUUCCAUCUCCUCUUUAAUCACAUUACAAUGUUUAUUCAGCAGAUUCUGUUGGUUACUUGUCUGUUUGUUUUUACUAUUUUCAUUUCAAAAGGGAGACUUUUUUAUUUUGAUUGUACUUUUUUCUGAGAAUUCUGAUUUAAUAACAAAGAGAAAGUGAGAACAUCAGCUCUUCUAUACGUUCAUCUGUUCUGAUAACUGAAGUGGAGGUUAACAGUGCAAUUAGAAAUACUGGACAUGUUCAAAUUAUUAAAGCCUCACACAGCAUAUAUACGUUUUUUCAAGGUGAUUUUUUUGUGUGUUAGUCCCGAGAAUAUGGGUUUGAUUCUUGUUUCUGGCCAGUGUUAUUUAGAACAGUGAAGUUUUGCAUGUUAGUGAGUUAUUCUCUUCUAACAACAUGCAAAUCAUCAACAUUAAAUCACACUGUGCUGUAAAUGAGUGAGUGAAUAUGUAAGUGUGUUAUUCCCCGUGAGUAGAGUGGCACCUUGUCCAAGCCUUGUGCCCAGUGUUUCUAAUAUGGGAACUUAAUAUUGGUGCAUUCCUCAUGGCUAACAGCUGUUUAUUACAUUUGUAAAGGAGGAUAUAUUUCUUACUGUAGUCUUUAUUUAAGAGACAUGGUUUACCAGAGCCUCUGAAAUCCCAGCGUGAGUUUUUAACUUAAGCCUUGUGCUCCAGACCAGACCAGACCAGGGUAAAAUUAGCUCUCUGCCGUCGUGAACGUACCGAGUGUAAAUAGACGCCUGCUGAGCGAAGGAGAAGGAAAGAACAGAUUAUUGAAUGACACUACAGUUCUAACUGAGUGAAAGAGAAAAAGAAUACGUAAGAAUGGCGUAACUGAGACGAGCGUGACAAAUCGAACUGAUUUACUCCUGCAUGAAAUAUCAUUACGCUUGUAUAUUUAAGAAAGAGUGUGGCCAUGUACAUUCCUCACUGAUUAGCGACCAUAUAAAGCCACAAGUGUUUUUUUUGUGUAUUGCUGUCAGACAGCUUCUUUAAAAAAUAACAGCAACAUGCUGGAUUUAAAAUAAUAUUGCAGCCCCACAGACUGUUAGUCUGAAAUACAUUUUUAGUCUGUCUAUUUUGAAAGCAUGAUUACAUGGAGAUACCUGUGUAGUUGGACGGACCAAUCUGAUCAUCAACACAGAUACCGGUAUUCAUAUUUCAUUUCAUCAUCUGCUUUAUCCUGGUCAGGGCUUUGGCCAUUCCUCUUACUCAGUUGCUAGGUUCACUUAACCUCAUGCACCUUAAUAUUUGUUAGCCAAGCCUGGGAUUUAAACCCCCAGAACUCCUCUUACCAGCAGCGUGACUCUUAGCAUUACGCAACACAAGCUCACAGUAUAUGGUAUAAAGAGAAAUAUAAAAGUGGUCAACAGGAAAGACAAUACAUUUGCAUAUCGCAAUAAUUUGUAUUUUAGAAUUGUUACAAACCUUGUGAAAAAAAAAAAGGUUUUUAAUGUGAAAGUGACCUUUCCUUGUUAAAUAAUGUAUAAAUAAUGUAUUUUGUGCACUGUUUGUGGUAUAGCUGCACAUUAAAGGGUAAGUCAGCAAAAAAUAUAUGUAUUUAGUGUCAGUGUGUGGAAACUGUAACUGAUGACUACUAGCUUGUCAGCUGAAGCAUGAUGCUUUUGGUUGUUACUAGGUUCCUUGUUAAAGCUUUGGAUCAGUUGAUAAAGAGUGGUGGUGUUAACAAUAAACCUUACUGAUAAGUUAUCAUGCUUUAA